rnacentral:rRNA from 1 species
GACGAACGCUGGCGGCGUGCCUAAUACAUGCAAGUAGAACGCACAGUUUAUACCGUAGCUUGCUACACCAUAGACUGUGAGUUGCGAACGGGUGAGUAACGCGUAGGUAACCUGCCUGGUAGCGGGGGAUAACUAUUGGAAACGAUAGCUAAUACCGCAUAAUAUUAAUUAUUGCAUGAUAAUUGAUUGAAAGAUGCAACUGCAUCACUACCAGAUGGACCUGCGUUGUAUUAGCUAGUAGGUGAGGUAACGGCUCACCUAGGCGACGAUACAUAGCCGACCUGAGAGGGUGAUCGGCCACACUGGGACUGAGACACGGCCCAGACUCCUACGGGAGGCAGCAGUAGGGAAUCUUCGGCAAUGGACGAAAGUCUGACCGAGCAACGCCGCGUGAGUGAAGAAGGUUUUCGGAUCGUAAAGCUCUGUUGUAAGAGAAGAACGGGUGUGAGAGUGGAAAGUUCACACUGUGACGGUAUCUCACCAGAAAGGGACGGCUAACUACGUG